AGGGAUGCCAUUGGUUGGAAGGCUGAGCAGCAUACCCAGAAACGCAGCGCUGCUGCUUACAUCGGUCGUGCACUCGAGCACUGGGUAUUACACAUUGCUGGAGUGGAGCUUGAAAAUAAUGCACGUAGAGACCAGUCUCGGUGACAAGGAUGCUGCAUCGGUCGGUCUUAUCCUAUUUCAGGAUAAGGAAGCAAUAUCCUACUUCCAAGAUGAUCUUGGCCAACUCAUACAAGUGCGUGAGGUCAAUCCAUCUUUCAAUGCACCUGCCAUCUGCUUGUGGAAAGGGAGCUUAUAGUACCAAACAUUGGCUUGAAGCUGGCUAUUGAGUACCUGUUUGGUGUCCACUACACUGCUUGAACAUCAAAUAUGCUGCACGUGUAGGGGUGACCCUUGAAUUUCUUCAGAGACUUCCAGGUCAUUGGGCUGCUUGACGGAAACAAGAAUAUCCAGGCCUGAAUAGCAC